rnacentral:rRNA from 1 species
AUGAUAUGCAGAGGCUACCAAGUGGUAGCUCCAAUCUUGCAAUUGAAGGUCAGCAAUGGGUGCUUCUCCUGGGACGGCUCACCUGAGAUACCAACACUGAAGGAUCUGAAUUUUCAAGAUCAGCAAGGCAUGCGUGUUGCAGUCUAUGGGAUGAUCGGCUCUGGAAAAUCAAGUUUGCUCUUUUACAGUCUGUGGGAUGACCGGCUCUCAGUGAGGUGCCAAAGCUAUUAG